rnacentral:rRNA from 1 species
GACGAACGCUGGCGGCGUGCUUAACACAUGCAAGUCGAACGGAAAGGCCCUGCUUUUGUGGGUUGCUCGAGUGCCGAACGGGUGAGUAACACGUGAGUAACCUGCCCUUGACUUUGGGAUAACUUCAGGAAACUGGGGCUAAUACCGGAUAGGAGCUCCUGCUGCAUGUUGGGGGUUGGAAAGUUUCGGCGGUUGGGGAUGGACUCGCGGCUUAUCAGCUUGUUGGUGGGGUAGUGGCUUACCAAGGCUUUGACGGGUAGCCGGCCUGAGAGGGUGACCGGCCACAUUGGGACUGAGAUACGGCGCAGACUCCUACGGGAGGCAGCAGUGGGGAAUAUUGCAGAAUGGGCGGAAGCCUGAUGCAGCAACGCCGCGUGCGGGAUGACGGCCUUCGGGUUGUAAACCGCUUUCGCCUGUGACGAAGCGUGAGUGACGGUAAUGGGUAAAGAAGCACCGGCUAACUACGUG